UACGGAGGGUGCGAGCGUUGUCCGGAAUCACUGGGCGUAAAGGGCGCGUAGGUGGCAGCGUAAGCGUGUGGUGAAAGCUCGGGGCUCAACCCUGAGUCGGCCAUGCGAACUGCGUUGCUCGAGCACUGUAGAGGCAGACGGAAUUCCGGGUGUAGCGGUGGAAUGCGUAGAGAUCCGGAAGAACACCGGUGGCGAAGGCGGUCUGCUGGGCAGUUGCUGACACUGAGGCGCGACAGCGUGGGGAGCAAAC
rnacentral:rRNA from 2 species